rnacentral:misc_RNA from 1 species
GGACUGGUCCACAAGAUUGAAGUCGUUCAACGAGCAACGGAACGGACUAUGCUUGGAGUUUCUCUCAGAGACAGGAUUAGAAAUGAGACUAUCUGCGAGAAAACGAAAGUAUCUGACAUAGCCCACAGAAUUAGCAAGUUGAAGUGGCAGUGGGUUGGUCACCUAUGUCGCAGGACCGAUGGCCGAUGGAGCAGACGUGUCCUGGAGUGGAUACCGCGUCUUGGCAAACGCAAGAAUAUCAUACUCUAUUGUCUAAGACAAUGACUGAAGUGUCAACCCUGACUGGCUCUCCGAGAUUGUGA